rnacentral:misc_RNA from 1 species
UACAAUGAAAUACAAAUAUUUCCAGGCAAUAAAUGCCACAUUUGAGGUAAAAUUUCUAAUUGGUUUUAGCAGAUAAAUUUAAUAGUUAGUGUUAAAACCUUCUUUCCAAGAACUACUUACCCCGAGAAAGGAUAUUUGGAGAAGCUCAAGGGAAACGGAAACAAGGGAGCCGAAAAAAUCCUCAGCGGCUAUUGCAGUCGUCGUCCUGCGCGAAAUGGAGGAAAGCGAACCUGGCAGGGUGCUCCACUUAACUGCGAGCUGCUUGUUGUGGCAAUUGUAGUGGAUGAGGAGUGGUCAUGUUCCUUCCUUGGCUGCGGGUUAUUGCCAGAGCGGAAUCCUCAAUCCCGUAGUUCAGUUUAGCCGGAAAGGAGUGGUAGAUGGAGUGGGAGAGGGCGAAAGCUGGGAAAGGAUGCCCCACCCCCUGCCAUCCUGUCCUGUCCGACGAGCGGUGCAGUCAUGUGCAGGAAUUAAUUUUGCGAUUACGCGUAAUUACAGCCCGGAAAAAAGUCAACAAAGAAGGACGCGGCGCUGGCAGGAGCAAAACUUAAUUGCGAUUACAGCUUUGAAAUUUCUCGCGGUGCACUGGAGAUCGCCCAAUGAAUGGACCCACAAUCAAGCGCUCAACUCGGGCGACCAAUCAACGGGGCAAUCAACGACCAUCGGCGCGGAGCGGGCGCAAGUACAAGAACCGCAUUGAGCGGGGCGUAACGUGAUUUUACUGCAAUCCGAUCUGGUUUGGCACAAACAUCUUGCUAUCAUCUUGCUCCGCCAGCGGAGCUCAG